rnacentral:rRNA from 1 species
GGGGAAUAUUGCACAAUGGACGAAAGUCUGAUGCAGCAGCGCCGCGUGGAGGAUGACACAUUUCGGUGCGUAAACUCCUUUUAUAUAGGAAGAUAAUGACGGUACUAUAUGAAUAAGCACCGGCUAACUCCGUGCCAGCAGCCGCGGUAAUACGGAGGGUGCAAGCGUUACUCGGAAUCACUGGGCGUAAAGAGCGUGUAGGCGGGUAAAUAAGUCAGAAGUGAAAUCCAAUAGCUCAACUAUUGAACUGCUUUUGAAACUGUAUACCUAGAAUGUGGGAGAGGCAGAUGGAAUUUCUGGUGUAGGGGUAAAAUCCGUAGAGAUCAGAAGGAAUACCGAUUGCGAAGGCGAUCUGCUGGAACAUUAUUGACGCUGAGGCGCGAAAGCGUGGGGAGCAAAC